CGUAGGUGGCAAGCGUUAUCCGGAAUUAUUGGGCGUAAAGCGCGCGUAGGCGGUUUUAAGUCUGAUGUGAAAGCCCACGGCUCAACCGUGGAGGGUCAUUGGAAACUGGAAAACUUGAGUGCAGAAGAGGAAAGUGGAAUUCCAUGUGUAGCGGUGAAAUGCGCAGAGAUAUGGAGGAACACCAGUGGCGAAGGCGACUUUCUGGUCUGUAACUGACGCUGAUGUGCGAAAGCGUGGGAUCGAAACAGGAUU
rnacentral:rRNA from 1 species